rnacentral:rRNA from 1 species
AACGCUAGCUACAGGCUUAACACAUGCAAGUCGAGGGGCAGCAUGGUCUUAGCUUGCUAAGGCCGAUGGCGACCGGCGCACGGGUGAGUAACACGUAUCCAACCUGCCGUCUACUCUUGGACAGCCUUCUGAAAGGAAGAUUAAUACAAGAUGGCACCAUGAGUCCGCAUGUUCACAUGAUUAAAGGUAUUCCGGUAGACGAUGGGGAUGCGUUCCAUUAGAUAGUAGGCGGGGUAACGGCCCACCUAGUCUUCGAUGGAUAGGGGUUCUGAGAGGAAGGUCCCCCACAUUGGAACUGAGACACGGUCCAAACUCCUACGGGAGGCAGCAGUGAGGAAUAUUGGUCAAUGGGCGAGAGCCUGAACCAGCCAAGUAGCGUGAAGGAUGACUGCCCUAUGGGUUGUAAACUUCUUUUAUAAAGGAAUAAAGUCGGGUAUGGAUACCCGUUUGCAUGUACUUUAUGAAUAAGGAUCGGCUAACUCCGUGCCAGCAGCCGCGGUAAUACGGAGGAUCCGAGCGUUAUCCGGAUUUAUUGGGUUUAAAGGGAGCGUAGAUGGAUGUUUAAGUCAGUUGUGAAAGUUUGUGGCUCAACCGUAAAAUUGCAGUUGAUACUGGAUAUCUUGAGUGCAGUUGAGGCAGGCGGAAUUCGUGGUGUAGCGGUGAAAUGCUUAGAUAUCACGAAGAACUCCGAUUG